rnacentral:misc_RNA from 1 species
AAGGAGUUGGUGCUGGCAUAGAUGAGGUGAUUUCCAUUUAUUUAUGGUGCUUUUUGAGGAAGAUUAGAUUAUGAACAUUAUAAAUUCAGUUUUUGAUUUGCUAGUUAACAAAUCCAAAGCCUUUUGUAUCCUCUUACUAUUCUGUUCACUGGUCACUCUUAUCAUCUCUGUGCUUAUAAUCCCUGGCAAUCCAUCUCAACUUUCUGUAGCAAUGAGAUGAUCAAUACCUAGAGUGGAUGAUGGCAAGUCAUGGCUUACUUGGUUAAUUUCGUGGCAUGUUAAAAAUAUCUCCAUUUCCUUUCCUAUGAUGGUGGGUUGGGUGUUUGAGACAUCAGCCAGCUUUGUAUUACUUGCAUGCACAUAUAUAUGAAUUUUGUGUAUUGUUUUUUGGUGGUGGGCCAAUCAAGGUUUUGUUGAUUGUGAUUCUCUGAAUCUAUGAUGGUUUUUAUACGUUAUUUAAUAUAUAAGUGACAAUUGGGCUUUUUAUUGUUGCACUAUAAUAGGGCAGUAGAAUUCCAAUAUCAAAUUGCAUGUUCUUUUUCUAUGACCAUAAAAUUUCAAUGUUUUAGUCGUAAUAAGUGGAAUUGCUUCAUGUGGUCAGAUGGUGAAUUGAAAUUCAAAGCAUCUCUUUAGAGCACUAUAGGGUUGAUUCAGUAUGUGCAUUUAGUGUUUGUGGUGGGUUAGAGUUCAGAAGUUAGUGUUUUUAGGAUUUAUUGUUUUGUUGGUGUUAGUGUUGAAGUUUGGAGAAAAAUCUAUGUAUUUCUCUAUGAUUUAGACUUUGUACAAAAGGUCCUACUCUUAUAGGCAUAUCUUCUACCUAUAAAGGGAAACUAUACAACAAUAGGAAACUAGAAUAUAUCAGUAUAAAAUAAGAAAAUAGAAAUUAAAUCUUAAUUGAUGCAGUGUGUAGCACGAAAAAGGAUUGGCACAUAAUCAAACCCUUGAAAAUAAAUAAG